rnacentral:rRNA from 1 species
GGUGCUAAUACCGGAUAAGAAAGCAAGAUCGUCAUGAUACAGUACUUUUAAAAAGGCGGCGUAAGCUGUCGCUAUGGGAUCGGCCCGCGGUGCAUUAGCUAGUUGGUAAGGUAAAGGCUUACCAAGGCGAUGAUGCAUAGCCCGAGUUGAGAGACUGAUCGGGCCACAUUGGGGACUGAGACACGGGGCCCAAACUCCUACGGGGGGAGGGGCAGCAGUAGGGGGAAUCUUCCACAAUGGACGCAAGUCUGAUGGAGCAACGCCGCGUGAGUGAAGUAAGGUUUUCGGAUCGUAAAGCUCUGUUGUUGGUGAAGAAGGAUAGAGGUAGUAACUGGCCUUUAUUUGACGGUAAUCAACCAGAAAGUCACGGCUAACUACGUGCCAGCAGCCGCGGUAAU